UGUCUCUUCUCCCUUCUCGGUAUUUUUUCCAAAUCUGAAAAUUUGAGAAACCCUUAUUGAGGCAGCAGCAUCUCCGUCGAGCUCUCUUUCUCUCUUUCUCUAGCGACCGGCUAACUCGCCGCUCCCCUGCGUCGCCUGCUCCGCCUCCUCUGCCAUUCACGCCUUCCUCCGGGGAAUUCGCGGAUGAUGGAGGAAGCGCCACCUCUCAUCUCCAGAGGGUUCCCGACGCCGAUCUCUCUCUCUCCCUCAAGGAGCUUGGCGUUUUCACUGGGAGUCACACCGUCGCCGGCGACUCACGUCAGCUCCCUCCGUCGAGGGUGGCUGUCCAAGGCGUCUCGGUUGGCGGUUUGGAGUCUUGCGGCUGUGGAAACGAGGAAGAAGAAAGGAGAAAGAGAUAGGGAAGAAGAUCUUUGGAUUUUUUUGUUCUCAUUCCUAUUUGUGGUGUGUGAAUUUUCCUUGCAGGUUUGGAGAUGAAUCCUACAGCUGCUGUUGCUGCCCAACCGAGAGGAGAAGAGGGGAAGAGAUCAUGCUCCAAGGCAUUCCUAGAUCUCAUUAUCAUUUCUACCUAGAGUCAAAUCCUAGAUUAUGUACUCCUUAGAUUUGACAAGCUGUAACAUAUUUCCUUUGUAUCAUGAACAAAAGCACUCCAUUUGAUUACAUGGAAUUUCUAUUUUCCAACAA